rnacentral:rRNA from 1 species
GAUUAAGUUAUUAAGGGCGCACGGUGGAUGCCUUGGCACUAGAAGCCGAUGAAGGACGUUACUAACGACGAUAUGCUUUGGGGAGCUGUAAGUAAGCUUUGAUCCAGAGAUUUCCGAAUGGGGAAACCCAGCAUGAGUUAUGUCAUGUUAUCGAUAUGUGAAUACAUAGCAUAUCAGAAGGCACACCCGGAGAACUGAAACAUCUUAGUACCCGGAGGAAGAGAAAGAAAAUUCGAUUCCCUUAGUAGCGGCGAGCGAAAUGGGAAGAGCCCAAACCAACAAGCUUGCUUGUUGGGGUUGUAGGACACUCUAUACGGAGUUACAAAGGACGACAUUAGACGAAUCAUCUGGAAAGAUGAAUCAAAGAAGGUAAUAAUCCUGUAGUCGAAAAUGUUGUCUCUCUUGAGUGGAUCCUGAGUACGACGGAGCACGUGAAAUUCCGUCGGAAUCUGGGAGGACCAUCUCCUAAGGCUAAAUACUCUCUAGUGACCGAUAGUGAACCAGUACCGUGAGGGAAAGGUGAAAAGCACCCCGGAAGGGGAGUGAAAUAGAACCUGAAACCGUGUGCUUACAAGUAGUCAGAGCCCGUUAAUGGGUGAUGGCGUGCCUUUUGUAGAAUGAACCGGCGAGUUACGAUUUGAUGCAAGGUUAAGCAGUAAAUGUGGAGCCGUAGCGAAAGCGAGUCUGAAUAGGGCGUUUAGUAUUUGGUCGUAGACCCGAAACCAGGUGAUCUACCCUUGGUCAGGUUGAAGUUCAGGUAACACUGAAUGGAGGACCGAACCGACUUACGUUGAAAAGUGAGCGGAUGAACUGAGGGUAGCGGAGAAAUUCCAAUCGAACCUGGAGAUAGCUGGUUCUCUCCGAAAUAGCUUUAGGGCUAGCCUCAAGUGAUGAUUAUUGGAGGUAGAGCACUGUUUGGACGAGGGGCCCCUCUCGGGUUACCGAAUUCAGACAAACUCCGAAUGCCAAUUAAUUUAACUUGGGAGUCAGAACAUGGGUGAUAAGGUCCGUGUUCGAAAGGGAAACAGCCCAGACCACCAGCUAAGGUCCCAAAAUAUAUGUUAAGUGGAAAAGGAUGUGGCGUUGCCCAGACAACUAGGAUGUUGGCUUAGAAGCAGCCAUCAUUUAAAGAGUGCGUAAUAGCUCACUAGUCGAGUGACACUGCGCCGAAAAUGUACCGGGGCUAAACAUAUUACCGAAGCUGUGGAUUGUCCUUUGGACAAUGGUAGGAGAGCGUUCUAAGGGCGUUGAAGCAUGAUCGUAAGGACAUGUGGAGCGCUUAGAAGUGAGAA